rnacentral:rRNA from 1 species
GUCCUUUUGAAUUUUAUAGAAGGUCUGACCUGCCCAGUGAUAAUUUUAACGGCCGCGGUAUACUGACCGUGCAAAGGUAGCAUAAUCAUUAGUCUUUUAAUAGAGGGCUGGAAUGAAAGGUUUAACGAGGAAUUGACUGUCUCAUUUUAUUUGUUUUAGAAUUUAAUUUUUUAGUCAAAAAGCUAAAAUCUUAUUGGAAGACGAGAAGACCCUAUAGAUCUUUAUAAAACUUUAUUUAAUUAUUUUUAUAUCAAUUUAUUUAAAUAACUUUUUAUUUUGUUGGGGUGACAAAAAUAUAUGUAUAACUUUUUUAUUUAUUUAACAUUAAUUUAUGAUUAUUAGAUCCAUUAUUAGUGAUUAAUAGACUAAGUUACCUUAGGGAUAACAGCGUAAUCCUCCUCCAGAGUUCAUAUUUACAGGAUGGGCUUGCGACCUCGAUGUUGGAUUAAGAUGAUAAUUAGGUGUAGCCGCUUAA